CUAGCCGGGUCCACCGAUGUCAAACUCCUCAGCCUAACGGUAGAAAACGGCUGUUUGCUAACAACGCUAGCCGGAGGAGCAUUCUGUUGUUACGUUUCCAGCUAGCGGUAUGAAGUUGCCAGUUUUGUUUCCUGCAGAUGGUCGUGGAUAAACAUGCACAGAGAUUUCAGAGUGGGUGCUGCACUUAGCAGCGGGGAGCCACCAGUGGAGGACUACCUGGAUAGCUUUCCUAACCACAGACCUCUCCCAGAAUGGAUCAUUAGCAUCGUGCCAAAGAUGGAUGGCAACUUUCUGCACGACUUGCUGGCCGCCAGUGUAAGAGCAGGGCACAGGCUUUCCUCUGGUCCCUUGGCCUGCCUGCUGACCUGCUCCUGGGUCUUAGUUAACAUUCAGGGGGCCCUGACCUGAAAAGCAGGCUUGGCAGCCGAACCAAGGUCCCAUCCUCCCCAAAGAAAUUAGAGGUGGUAAUCUUUCAGGAACAACUUGCUAACCUUCCCAGACCAUGUAAAUGCAAUAGAUGCAGCUGAUUGCCCUGCUUCUGUUUUGCAGCCCCUCUGUGUCUCCCUGUCACCGGCCAUGCCAGGUCGUGUCCAAUUUAUGUGUUUUUGACAGCUCGGAGGUGACGAAUGAUGGCCCGCGCUGAAAGAAGGUUACAUUUAAACACAGCACAGGUCAAUGGGGUAGAUGGCUGAAUGCUAAAUCAUUGUCAGGGAAACUAAUGAUACGGCAUUAUAAGACAACAGGGUGCGGUGAAAGAUAAAGUGCACGAUGUCAUACUGAUACUAUAAUCAACCAAUGUCUCUUUCAAGCGCACAUUCAUCUUGAUUUUGCAUAGACAUUCACAUAUUCUGAAUGGAAACACUGAGGAAUCCCACACAAAUAGCUAUUUAUGGUGCUGUAUCCUUUUGUGUGGCACAAGAAUAUCACGAUGGUUCCUGGCUCCAUUAUUAUUACAGCUGAAAAUAUAACGACUCUAAUAUAAACGAAUACUAUUGGGACUAUUCCGGUUCCACUGUAAUUAAAAUGCAAAAUACACUUUGUUAAGCGUUAGAAACAAAUAUUUAAUUCGUUGUGUCUAAGAGCUGUUACACCUGCUGCAGCAAUUUCAAAAACACACAGGAAGUGUGAAUAACAAACACAG